rnacentral:rRNA from 1 species
GACGAACGCUGGCGGCGUGCUUAACACAUGCAAGUCGAACGGUAAGGCCCUUCGGGGUACACGAGUGGCGAACGGGUGAGUAACACGUGGGUGAUCUGCCCUGCACUUCGGGAUAAGCCUGGGAAACUGGGUCUAAUACCGGAUAGGACCACUGCCUGCAUGGGUGGUGGUGGAAAGCUUUUGCGGUGUGGGAUGGGCCCGCGGCCUAUCAGCUUGUUGGUGGGGUGAUGGCCUACCAAGGCGACGACGGGUAGCCGGCCUGAGAGGGUGACCGGCCACACUGGGACUGAGAUACGGCGAAGACCCCUACGGGAGGCAGCAGUGGGGAAUAUUGCACAAUGGGGGCAAGCCGGAUGCAGCGACGCCGCGUGAGGGAUGACGGCCUUCGGGUUGUAAACCUCUUUCAGCACCGACGAAGCGCAAGUGACGGUAGGUGCAGAAGAAGGACCGGCCAACUACGUGCCAGCCGCCGCCGUAA